UCAAGACCAAUCAGCAUAAAGGAGGGAAAAGGCUUAGAGUAUAAAUGUACACUGGGAAACACUUUGUCUCAGGCACUCCUCAACCUCUCUCAGACAUCCAAGAAUAAUACAGAAGAACCUUCGCUCUCAUCACCAUGAAGGGAACCUGGGCUGUUAUCCUUUGUUCAGUGCUCCUGCUUGCAGCUGAAAUUCAAGGGCAGCUGACCUCUGGACAUGGACGUUGCAGCUGUACAGAGAAAGGUUCUGAUUUCAUUCAGCGAAAAGCCUUAGGAAAAAUAGAAGUGUUUCCCAAGAGCUUUUCCUGUGAUCACGUUGAGAUUAUUGCUACAAUGAAACCCACUGGAGAGCAAAAAUGCUUAAACCCUAAUUCUAAAUCGGUACAGAAGAUGAUGAGAGCCC